rnacentral:rRNA from 1 species
AGAGUUUGAUCCUGGCUCAGAACGAACGCUGGCGGCGCGUUUCAGGCAUGCAAGUCGAAGGACCUAUUUAAGCUUGCUUUAAUAGGGACUGGCGAACGGGUGAGUAACACGUGAGAAUCUAGCCUGAAGUGGGGGAUAGCCUAUGGAAACAUAGGAUAAUACCGCAUAUGCUGAAAGGUGAAAGAGGCUUCGGCCUCGCUUUAGGGUGAGCUUGCGGUCCAUUAGUUAGUUGGUAAGGUAAUGGCUUACCAAGACCGCGAUGGAUAGCCGGCCUGAGAGGGUGAUCGGCCACAUUGGGACUGAGACACGGCCCAGACUCCUACGGGAGGCAGCAGCUAAGAAUAUUCCGCAAUGGGAGAAAUCCUGACGGAGCGACGCCGCGUGAACGAUGAAGGCAGAAAUGUUGUAAAGUUCUUUUUUAUGGGAAGAAUAAUGAUAGUAGGUAAUGAUUAUCAGAUGACGGUACCAUAAGAAUAAGCUCCGGCUAACUACGUGCCAGCAGCCGCGGUAAUACGUAGGGGGCAAGCGUUGUUCGGAUUUGUUGGGCGUGAAGGGCAUUAGGCGGUUAUAUAAGUGUGAAUUUAAAGGCUAAAGCUUAACUUUAUGUUUGGUUUGCAAACUGUAUAACUAGAGUACAGAAGGGGAGACUGGAAUUCCACGUGUAGGGGUGAAAUCUGUAGAGAUGUGGAAGAAUACCGGUGGCGAAGGCGAGUCUCUGGUCUGUAACUGGCGCUAAUAUGCGAAAGUGUGGGGAGCAAACAGGAUUAGAUGCCCUGGUAGUCCACACUGUAAACGUUGCACACUAGGUGUUAGUAGUUUGUUCUACUAGUGCCGUAGCUAACGCAUUAAGUGUGCCGCCUGGGGAGUAUGCUCGCAAGGGUGAAACUCAAAGGAAUUGACGGGGGCCCGCACAAGCGGUGGAGCAUGUGGUUUAAUUCGACGAUACGCGAAAAACCUUACCAGGACUUGACAUUUAAGUGAUCGAUACAGAGAUGUGUCUUCCCUCCGGGGCGCUUAAACAGGUGCUGCAUGGCUGUCGUCAGCUCGUGUUGUGAGAUGUUGGGUUAAGUCCCGCAACGAGCGCAACCCCUACUGUUAGUUGCCAUCAGGUUAAGCUGGGCACUCUAGCAGAACUGCCGGUGACAAACCGGAGGAAGGUGGGGAUGACGUCAAGUCCUCAUGGCCCUUAUGUCCUGGGCUACACACGUGCUACAAUGGGCUGUACAAAGGGUUGCAAGACCGCGAGGUGGAGCCAAUCCCAAAAAGCAGUCCUUAGUUCGGAUUGGAGUCUGCAACUCGACUCCAUGAAGUUGGAAUCGCUAGUAAUCGCAGAUCAGAAUGCUGCGGUGAAUACGUUCCCGGGCCUUGUACACACCGCCCGUCACACCAUCCGAGUC